AUUGAACGCUGGCGGCGUGCUUAACACAUGCAAGUCGAACGAAGUGGCGAACGGGUGAGUAACGCGUAAUCAACCUGCCCUUCAGAGGGGGACAACAGUUGGAAACGACUGCUAAUACCGCAUACUGAAGGAGGGGAUUGCGUCUGAUUAGCUAGUGGGAGGGGUCACGGCCCACCAAGGCGAUGAUCAGUAGCCGGGCUGAGAGGAUGAACGGCCACAUUGGGACUGAGACACGGCCCAGACUCCUACGGGAGGCAGCAGUGGGGAAUCUUCCGCAAUGGACGAAAGUCUGACGGAGUAACGCCGCGUGAGUGAUGACGGCCUUCGGGUUGUAAAGCUCUGUUAAUCGGGACGCGGUACCGGAAUAGAAAGCCACGGCUAACUCCGUGCCAGCCGCCGCGGUAAUUC
rnacentral:rRNA from 1 species